rnacentral:rRNA from 1 species
GACGAACGCUGGCGGCGUGCCUAACACAUGCAAGUCGAGCGGAGAUGAUGUGAGGAAGUUUUCGGAUGGAAUCACAUUAUUUUAGCGGCGGACGGGUGAGUAACGCGUGAGCGACCAACCUUGCACAGGGGGAUAACGGACCGAAAGGUUCACUAAUACCGCAUGAGACCACGGUGUUGCAUGACACAGGGGUCAAAGGAGCAAUCCGGUGCAAGACGGCGCUCGCGUCCGAUUAGGUAGUUGGAGGGGUAACGGCCCACCAAGCCUAUGAUCGGUAGCCGACCUGAGAGGGUGAUCGGCCACAUUGGAACUGAGAUACGGUCCAAACUCCUACGGGAGGCAGCAGUGGGGAAUAUUGCACAAUGGGCGCAAGCCUGAUGCAGCAACGCCGCGUGAGGGACGAAGGCCUUCGGGUUGUAAACCUCUUUUAGCAGGGAAGAAGCGAAAGUGACGGUACCUGCAGAAAAAGCACCGGCUAACUACGUGCCAGCAGCCGCGGUAA